UACAGAGGGUGCGAGCGUUAAUCGGAAUUACUGGGCGUAAAGCGCGCGUAGGCGGCUUUGCAAGUCGGGUGUGAAAUCCCCAGGCUUAACCUGGGAACUGCAUUCGAGACUGCAUUGCUAGAGUAUGGGAGAGGGAAGUGGAAUUUCCGGUGUAGCGGUGAAAUGCGUAGAUAUCAGGAGGAACACCAGCGGCGAAGGCGGCGCUCUGGGCCGGUACUGACACUGAGGAGCGAAAGCGUGGGUAGCAAACAGG
rnacentral:rRNA from 1 species